UUUUUUUCUGUGUUGGUGUAAUGUACUCAGGUGAAUAUGAUGCUUGUGAUGUUACUCUGAGUGUAUAUCCACACCGCGCAUUUUUCAAGCUUGCCCGGUGUGGAUAUACACUCAGAGUAACAUCACAAGCAUCAUAUUCACCUGAGUACAUUACACCAACACAGAAAAAUCGUGAGCGGAUU